UGUAAAAGAUUAAGCCAUGCAUGUUUCAAAUAGAUGUCACUUUUAGCGAUGUCAAUUUGCGGACAGCUCAUUAUAACAUCCGUUACAUUCACCGUAAUGGUUUUGAUUAACAUUUACAAGGAUACUCCUGGUAACUCCAUGCCUAAUACUUGCUUCAACGUGGACUCUCAAUUUAUUGGGGGAAAACGGCAUUUAUUAGUUUUCUUAAAUCAACGAUAGUAUUGAAUGGCAACAUUUGGUAUAUUUUUAAUGAUUUAUGAUAAUUUAGCGGACCUGUAUUUUUAUUACAGGCACACGGUAUUGGCGGAUAAUAUAUUAGUUUGUAAGUAGUGUCUUGGACUACUUAGACGUUGAUGUAAUCGGGGAUCUAGAGAUUGACUCCGGAGAGUUAGCCUGAGAGAUAGCUAACAUUUCUAAGGAAAGCAGCAGGGACGCAAAUUAUCCACUGACAAUUCGUCGAGAUAGGAACCAUUUGUGAAGUUGUUUAUUUUGCUUUACAGCGAGUAAAUAAUUUCAGUACAAUGCACAUCAGUAAAACUCCUUUUGGAAGAAUAAGGCAUAAGAAUUGAGAAAUUGAGGAAGUUCACCACCCAGGAGUGGAGCUUGCGGCUUAAUUGAUCACGCGAGGAACUUUCCAGUCCGGACACCUAAGGAAAGCCAGAUGCAGCUCUUUCUCGAUUCGUGCUUGUGUAUGUAGUCCAUGGUCUUUGGGAAGUGAGUGGAUGAUUUUUCUGAUUAAUUUCGAUACAGCGAGACUCACCCUUGAUGGUGGGCUUUUUUAUAAGRCACCACUAUGAUGUAAAUACGUUGGUAUAUAUUCGUAUAUACAGCUCUUUCAACAACGUUCUUAAAGGGACUACUGUAGUUUUAUACAGGGGAAGCUUGAGGCGAUAAAAGGUCCGUGAUGCUCUUAGAUGUUCUGGGCCGCUCGCGCGCUACACUGGUUCAAGCAACGAGUUUUUUGUAGGCCACUCAUGUAUUAAGUCGAUUGUAGCAAUAUAGUCGAUAAGAUACCUGAUGCCUACCCCUGAUUCGAGAGGAUUGGGAAAUCUUUGAAAUUGAACCGUGCUGGGGAUUGACAAUUGCAAUUAUUUGUCAUGAACGAGGAAUUCCUAGUAAGCGCAUGUCAUCAGCAUGCAUUGAAUACGUUUCUGAUCUUUGUACACACCGCCCGUCGCUGUUACCGAUUGAAUGGUUUAGUGAGUAUCGGGGAGAUAUUAUUCUGAAUUCUUUUCGGAGAAUUUGAACGACAUCGAACCGCUUCAAACUGUAUCAUUUAGAGGAAGCAAAAGUU
rnacentral:rRNA from 1 species